CCAUUGUUCAUCACCUGGAGCAAGAAACUGCAUGAAAUUCACUAUGAUUCUGAGCGGACUCCUGCCGCUCUUUCUGCUUCCUGAUUGCACGGAAAGCAUUGAUGGCGACUCUGUGGACAUCAAUACUCUUGCCCGUAUUAUUCAUUUCUUUGAACAAAACUAUAAGAGAGUCGAUAAAG